rnacentral:rRNA from 1 species
GUAAGUUCCGACCCGCAUGAAAGGCGUAAUGAGAGCUAUACUGUCUCAACUAGUGACCCGGUGAAAUUGUAGUCGUGGUGAAGAUGCCACGUACCCGCACCAAGACGGAAAGACCCCGUGAACCUUUACUGUAGGCAGAUACUGGGCUGUGGUAAAUUUUGUGUAGGAUAGCUGGGAGGCGAUGAAGUGAGUACGCUAGUAUUCAUGGAGCCGACGUUGAAAUACCAGCCUGAGUUUACUUUAGUUCUAACGCCGAUUCCCGUGAGCCGGGCGGCGGACAAUUUCUGUUGGGCAGUUUGACUGGGGCGGUCUCCUCCCAAAGAGUAACGGAGGAGUGCAAAGGUACACUCAGCCUGUUUGGCAAUCAGGCGUCGAGCGCAAUGGUAGAAAGUGUGCUUAACUGCGAGAGCGAUCACUCGAGCAGAUACGAAAGUAGGUCAUAGUGAUCCGGUGGUUCUGAAUGGAAAGGCCAUCGCUCAUCAGAUAAAAGGUACUCCGGGGAUAACAGGCUUAUCGCUUCCGAGCGUCCAUAGCGGCGAAGCGGUUUGGCACCUCGAUGUCGGCUCAUCACAUCCUGGGGGUGGAGAAGCUCCCAAGGGUUUGGCUGUUCGCCAAAGAAAGUGGUACGAGAGCUGGGUUCAGACCGUCGUGAGACAGGUCGGUCCCUAUCUGGUGUGGGCGUACGAAACUUGACGGGAAUUAACCUUAGUACGAGAGGACUUGGUUGGACGCAGCUCUGGCGUUCCAGUUGUCGCGCUAGCGGCACGGCUGGGUAACUAACUGCGGAAUGGAUAAACGCUGAAAGCAUAUAAGCGUGAAGCUGGCCCGAAGAUAAGGUUUCGUUUGAGUCCCCUGAAAGACGAUCAGGUUGAUAGGGCGGAUGUGUAAGUGCAGUAAUGUAUUUAGCUGACCGCUACUAAUGGACGAUCACUUAAUCGC